AUUGAACGCUGGCGGCAGGCCUAACACAUGCAAGUCGAACGAGUGGCGGACGGGUGAGUAAUGUCUGGGAACCUGCCUGAUGGAGGGGGAUAACUACUGGAAACGGUAGCUAAUACCGCAUACCAUCAGAUGUGCCCAGAUGGGAUUAGCUAGUUGGUGGGGUAACGGCUCACCAAGGCGACGAUGCCUAGCUGGUCGGAGAGGAUGACCAGCCACACUGUGACUGAGACACGGUCCAGACUCCUACGGGAGGCAGCAGGGGGGAAUAUUGCACAAUGGGCGAAAGCCUGAUGCAGCCACGCCGCGUGUAUGAAGAAGGCCUUCGGGUUGUAAAGUACUUUCAGCGGGGAAGCGUUACCCGAAGAAGAAGCACCGGCUAACUCCGUGCCAGCCGCCGCGGUAAUUC
rnacentral:rRNA from 1 species